ensembl:snRNA U6 U6 spliceosomal RNA
AUGCUUGCUUCAGAAGCACAUAUACUAAAAUAGAAACAAUACAGAAAAGAUUAGCAUGGCCCCUGAGAAAGGCUGACACACAAAUCUGUGAAGCAUUUCAUAUUUUU